rnacentral:rRNA from 1 species
GACGACGCUGGCGGCGUGCCUAACACAUGCAAGUCGAGCGGAGUCAGUAAGAGGAAGUUUUCGGAUGGAACCUUAUUGAUUUAGCGGCGGACGGGUGAGUAACGCGUGAGCGACCAACCUUGCACAGGGGGAUAACGGACCGAAAGGUUCACUAAUACCGCAUGAGACCACAGUGUUGCAUGACACAGGGGUCAAAGGAGCAAUCCGGUGCAAGACGGGCUCGCGUCCGAUUAGGUAGUUGGAGGGGUAACGGCCCACCAAGCCUAUGAUCGGUAGCCGACCUGAGAGGGUGAUCGGCCACAUUGGAACUGAGAUACGGUCCAAACUCCUACGGGAGGCAGCAGUGGGGAAUAUUGGGCAAUGGGGGAAACCCUGACCCAGCAACGCCGCGUGAAGGAAGAAGGUUUUCGGAUUGUAAACUUCUGUCCUUGGUGAAGAGAAGAAGACGGUAGCCAAGGAGGAAGCCCCGGCUAACUACGUG